rnacentral:rRNA from 2 species
UGAGGAAUAUUGGUCAAUGGAGGCAACUCUGAACCAGCCACGUCGCGUGAAGGAUGACGGCCCUACGGGUUGUAAACUUCUUUUAUACAGGAAUAAAGUGAGUCACGUGUGACUUUUUGCAUGUACUGUAUGAAUAAGGAUCGGCUAACUCCGUGCCAGCAGCCGCGGUAAUACGGAGGAUCCGAGCGUUAUCCGGAUUUAUUGGGUUUAAAGGGUGCGCAGGCGGGAGAUUAAGUCGGCGGUGAAAUUUUGCAGCUCAACUGUAAAAGUGCCUUCGAAACUGGUUUCCUUGAGUGUAGAUGAAGUAGGCGGAAUUUGUGGUGUAGCGGUGAAAUGCAUAGAUAUCACGAGGAACUCCGAUUGCGAAGGCAGCUUACUAAGCUACUACUGACGCUCAGGCACGAAGGCGUGGGGAUCAAACAGG